GUGCUCGGUUCAGCAGCACAUGUACUAAAAUUGGAAUGAUACAAAGAAGAUUUAUAUGGCCCCGGUGCAAGGAUGGCACGCAAAUUCGUGAAGUAUCCUAUAUUUUU
ensembl:snRNA U6 U6 spliceosomal RNA